AUUUGUCUGGUUAAUUCCGAUAACGAACGAGACCUUAACCUGCUAACUAGAUUCAUUAGUACUACUUUUGCAAUCUUCUUAGAGGGACUAUGUAAAACAAAUACAUGGAAGUUUGAGGCAAUAACAGGUCAGUGAUGCCCUUAUAUGUCCUGGGCUGCACGCAUGCUACACUGAUGCAUACAACAAGUGCCUAACCAGACAUGGUAUGGUAAUCUCGAAUAUGCAUCGUGAUGGGGAUAGAUCUUUGCAAUUAUAGAUCUUGACGAGGAAUUCCUAGUAAGUGCAAGUCAUCAUCUUGCAUUGAUUAUGUCCCUGCCCUUUGUCACACCGCCCGUCGCUCCUACCGAUACCGGGUGAUCCGGUGAACCUUUUGGACUCAUUUGGGAAAGAUAAGUAAACCAUAUCACCUAGAGGAAGGAGAAGUCGUAACAAGGUUUCCGUAGGUGAACCUGCRGAAGGAUCA
rnacentral:rRNA from 1 species